GAUGAAGAACGCAGCGAAAUGCGAUAAGUAGUGUGAAUUGCAGAAUUCAGUGAAUCAUCGAAUCUUUGAACGCACAUUGCGCCCCUUGGUAUUCCAUGGGGCAUGCCUGUUCGAGCGUCAUUUGUACCUUCAAGCUUUGCUUGGUGUUGGGUGUUUGUCUCGCCUUUGCGUGUAGACUCGCCUUAAAAUAAUUGGCAGCCGGCGUAUUGAUUUCGGAGCGCAGUACAUCUCGCGCUUUGCACUCAUAACGACAGCGUCCAAAAGUACAUUUUACACUCUUGACCUCGGAUCAGGUAGGAAUACCCGCUGAACUUAAGCAUAUCAAUAAGCGGAGGA
rnacentral:misc_RNA from 1 species